rfam:Schistosoma mansoni, Puerto Rico, WGS project CABG01000000 data, contig: 0148
AUCCAGCUGACGAGUCCCAAAUAGGACGAAACGCGCGUCCUUGUGAAU